UCAUCUCCGGGGGUAGAGCACUGUUUCGGCUAGGGGGCCAUCCCGGCUUACCAACCCGAUGCAAACUGCGAAUACCGGAGAAUGUUAUCACGGGAGACACACGGCGGGUGCUAACGUCCGUCGUGAAGAGGGAAACAACCCAGACCGCCAGCUAAGGUCCCAAAGUCAUGGUUAAGUGGGAAACGAUGUGGGAAGGCCCAGACAGCCAGGAUGUUGGCUUAGAAGCAGCCAUCAUUUAAAGAAAGCGUAAUAGCUCACUGGUCGAGUCGGCCUGCGCGGAAGAUGUAACGGGGCUAAACCAUGCACCGAAGCUGCGGCAGCGACACUGUGUGUUGUUGGGUAGGGGAGCGUUCUGUAAGUCUGUGAAGGUGGCCUGUGAGGGUUGCUGGAGGUAUCAGAAGUGCGAAUGCUGACAUAAGUAACGAUAAAGCGGGUGAAAAGCCCGCUCGCCGGAAGACCAAGGGUUCCUGUCCAACGUUAAUCGGGGCAGGGUGAGUCGACCCCUAAGGCGAGGCCGAAAGGCGUAGUCGAUGGGAAACAGGUUAAUAUUCCUGUACUUGGUGUUACUGCGAAGGGGGGACGGAGAAGGCUAUGUUGGCCGGGCGACGGUUGUCCCGGUUUAAGCGUGUAGGCUGGUUUUCCAGGCAAAUCCGGAAAAUCAAGGCUGAGGCGUGACGACGAGGCACUACGGUGCUGAAGCAACAAAUGCCCUGCUUCCAGGAAAAGCCUCUAAGCAUCAGGUAACAUCAAAUCGUACCCCAAACCGACACAGGUGGUCAGGUAGAGAAUACCAAGGCGCUUGAGAGAACUCGGGUGAAGGAACUAGGCAAAAUGGUGCCGUAACUUCGGGAGAAGGCACGCUGACACGUAGGUGAAGUGAUUUACUCAUGGAGCUGAAGUCAGUCGAAGAUACCAGCUGGCUGCAACUGUUUAUUAAAAACACAGCACUGUGCAAACACGAAAGUGGACGUAUACGGUGUGACGCCUGCCCGGUGCCGGAAGGUUAAUUGAUGGGGUCAGCGCAAGCGAAGCUCCUGAUCGAAGCCCCGGUAAACGGCGGCCGUAACUAUAACGGUCCUAAGGUAGCGAAAUUCCUUGUCGGGUAAGUUCCGACCUGCACGAAUGGCGUAAUGAUGGCCAGGCUGUCUCCACCCGAGACUCAGUGAAAUUGAACUCGCUGUGAAGAUGCAGUGUACCCGCGGCAAGACGGAAAGACCCCGUGAACCUUUACUAUAGCUUGACACUGAACAUUGAGCCUUGAUGUGUAGGAUAGGUGGGAGGCUUUGAAGCGUGGACGCCAGUCUGCGUGGAGCCGACCUUGAAAUACCACCCUUUAAUGUUUGAUGUUCUAACGUGGACCCGUUACCCGGGUUGCGGACAGUGUCUGGUGGGUAGUUUGACUGGGGCGGUCUCCUCCUAAAGAGUAACGGAGGAGCACGAAGGUUGGCUAAUCCUGGUCGGACAUCAGGAGGUUAGUGCAAUGGCAUAAGCCAGCUUGACUGCGAGCGUGACGGCGCGAGCAGGUGCGAAAGCAGGUCAUAGUGAUCCGGUGGUUCUGAAUGGAAGGGCCAUCGCUCAACGGAUAAAAGGUACUCCGGGGAUAACAGGCUGAUACCGCCCAAGAGUUCAUAUCGACGGCGGUGUUUGGCACCUCGAUGUCGGCUCAUCACAUCCUGGGGCUGAAGUAGGUCCCAAGGGUAUGGCUGUUCGCCAUUUAAAGUGGUACGCGAGCUGGGUUUAGAACGUCGUGAGACAGUUCGGUCCCUAUCUGCCGUGGGCGCUGGAGAACUGAGGGGGGCUGCUCCUAGUACGAGAGGACCGGAGUGGACGCAUCACUGGUGUUCGGGUUGUCAUGCCAAUGGCACUGCCCGGUAGCUAAAUGCGGAAGAGAUAAGUGCUGAAAGCAUCUAAGCACGAAACUUGCCCCGA
rnacentral:rRNA from 1 species